GGAGAAAAUGGUAAUAACAUUCUUGGAAAAGUAAACUUGGGAAGGGGAGUUGUUUUGCUUUACUGUGUGGUUGUUGGUGGGAGGACUGGACUAGCAAGUCAUGCAGACCUGGUUGAAGCUUGAGUUUGGACUACCCUAUGAUUAGGGAAGGGGCUCAAGGAGUGGGAAGGACCAAGAGUGGAGCCUGGGGGAUGAUUAUAUCUGGGGUGCAAAAAUAAAGGGAAGCAAGUGAUGAAUGGGCUGCAUAAGGGGCCCCCUGAGGAGACUGAAGUUCCAAUCUUAGCUCCCAAACCAAAACACUGUCCAUCUUACCUUUAGUCUUCUCAAAGUCUCAUUUGCUCUGCUGUCAUUUCCCAUCAGUGUGUAGGAAUCAGUUUUCCCCAUCCUAUCACAGCCCUGUGAAGAAGAUAACUUUAAUUUACUCUUGGUUAUACAGUUAAGAUGGUAAUUUUCAGGCCAAAUUCUCUAGAUUGUGUCUCUUAUUUUGUUUUUCAAAUCAUGUGAUGAUUUUCCUGCCAAGGACUGUAGAAUGAUAAAGAAUAGUAUCUUAAACAAUAGAUUUCUCAUGAAGGAUGUAUUUUGUAUUUGUUUUUUCCUUUGGUUUUUUAAGCAACUUGGGUUAUUUACCGUAUGAAUCACUUCUUCCCUCAGGUAACUGUCAGAGGUGGAAAACCAAGGUACCUUACAAAGUUUCAAACAGAUUCGAGGCAGAUGCUGUAAAGUUUAGGAAAUAGCAGGUACAGAGGAAACAGAUUACUGCGUUCCAGUUAUAUAGAAGAACUAAAUAAGUGAUGCAUCAUCAUGAUGGUUUAGAUUUGAAUUAAGAAAGCGAUCAUACCAACAAAAAGAAAACGUGACAUUAUAAAGCCUUUGGAAUUAAAUAAAACAGCAAAUAAAUUGAAUUGCAUAUGUG